GAUGAACGCUGGCGGCGUGCCUAACACAUGCAAGUCGAGCGAAGCGCCUUACUUGAUUUCUUCGGGAUGAAAGUAUUGUGACUGAGCGGCGACGGGUGAGUACGCGUGGUAACCUGCCUCAUACAGGGGGAUAACAGUUAGAAAUGACUGCUAAUACCGCAUAAGACCACAGCACCGCAUGGGUGCAGGGGUAAAAACUCCGGUGGUAUGAGAUGGAUCCGCGUCUGAUUAGCUAGUUGGUAAGGUAACGGCUUACCAAGGCAACGAUCAGUAGCCGACCUGAGAGGGUGACCGGCCACAUUGGGACUGAGACACGGCCCAA
rnacentral:rRNA from 1 species